rnacentral:rRNA from 1 species
AGAGUUUGAUCAUGGCUCAGGACGAACGCUGGCGGCGUGCUUAAUACAUGCAAGUCGAACGGUUCUAAGCGCGAGCUUAGGAUAGUGGCGAACGGGUGAGUAAAAGGUAGGAAUCUACCCCUUGGACGGAGAUAGCUACUGGAAACGGUAGGUAAACUUCGAUAAGCCCGAGAGGGGAAAGUGGUGAGACAGCCGAGGGAUGAGCCUACUCUCCAUCAGGUAGUUGGUGAGAUAAAAGCUUACCAAGCCGAUGACGGAUAACCGGUGUGAGAGCAUGAACGGUCACAAGGGCACUGAGAGACGGGCCCUACUCCUACGGGAGGCAGCAGUGGGGAAUCUUGGACAAUGGGCGAAAGCCUGAUCCAGCGACGCCGCGUGGAGGAAGAAGUCCUUCGGGAUGUAAACUUCUGAACUAGCCGAAUAAAAGGCCUGUGGACACACAGGAGAAGAAAGUAGGCUAGGAAAAGUCCCGGCUAACUACGUGCCAGCAGCCGCGGUAAU